rnacentral:rRNA from 1 species
AUGACAAUAAACAAAUCACAAGGCCAGACAAUACCAACUGUCGUCGUCUAUGUGCCUAAGCUUGUUUUCUCACAUGGUCAAUUAUAUGUCACGCUUUCUAGAGCAACCGCGACAUCAGACAUAAAGGUACUAACAGGUACACAUGAUGUGAACAAGGGGACAAAUAAAAAAAAUAAAGGGGACACAUACCCAAAGGAGAAGAAGAAAAGGAAGAAUAGGAUCAGUACAAGCAGUACAUACACAAAGAAUAUUGUCUACACAGAAGUCUUGACCAAAUAA